rnacentral:rRNA from 1 species
UAGCAUAGCCGAGUUGAGAGACUGAUCGGCCACAUUGGGACUGAGACACGGCCCAAACUCCUACGGGAGGCAGCAGUAGGGAAUCUUCCACAAUGGACGCAAGUCUGAUGGAGCAACGCCGCGUGAGUGAAGAAGGGUUUCGGCUCGUAAAGCUCUGUUGUUGGUGAAGAAGGACAGGGGUAGUAACUGACCUUUGUUUGACGGUAAUCAAUUAGAAAGUCACGGGCUAACUACGUGUCCAGCAGCCGCGGUAAU